rnacentral:rRNA from 1 species
UACGUAGGCAGCAAGCGUUGUUCGGAAUUACUGGGCGUAAAGAGUGUGUAGGCGGUGCUCUAAGUUCGGUGUGAAAUCUCCCGGCUCAACUGGGAGGGUGCGCCGGAAACUGGGGUGCUGGAGCGCGGGAGAGGAAAGCGGAAUUCCUGGUGUAGCGGUGAAAUGCGUAGAGAUCCGGAAGAACACCGGAGGCGAAGGCGGCUGGCUGGGCCUGAUCUGACGCUGAGGUGCGAAAGCGUGGGGAGCGAACAGG